UCAAGGGGACCGCAAGGUAACCGGCAAACGAGGUAGUAACACGUAGGUAGAUCCCCCGAAGUCGGGCAUAGCCAUCCGAAAGGAUGGGUAAUUCCCGAUAGUCCCACUGAUUAAUUUCUUUGGGUAAAGGUUUUUCGCUUCGGGAGUUGCCUGCGUAGUAUCAGCUAGUUGGUAAGGUAAUGGCUUACCAAGGCUACGACGCUUAGGGGAGCUGAGAGGCUGACCCCCACCGAUGGAACUGCGACACGGUCCAU
rnacentral:rRNA from 1 species